CUACGCACUCCUACGGGAGGCAGCAGUGGGGAAUAUUGCACAAUGGGCGCAAGCCUGAUGCAGCCAUGCCGCGUGUAUGAAGAAGGCCUUCGGGUUGUAAAGGUACUUUCAGCAGUGAGGAAGGUGGAUAUGUUAAUAGCAUAUUCAUUUGACGUUAGCUGCAGAAGAAGCACCGGCUAACUCCGUGCCAGCAGCCGCGGUAAUACGGAGGGUGCGAGCGUUAAUCGGAAUUACUGGGCGUAAAGCGCAUGCAGGUGGUUUGUUAAGUCAGAUGUGAAAGCCCGGGGCUCAACCUCGGAAUUGCAUUUGAAACUGGCAAACUAGAGUACUGUAGAGGGGGUAGAAUUUCAGGUGUAGCGGUGAAAUGCGUAGAGAUCUGAAGGAAUACCGGUGGCGAAGGCGGCCCCCUGGACAGAUACUGACACUCAGAUGCGAAAGCGUGGGGAGCAAACAGGAUUAGAUACCCUGGUAG
rnacentral:rRNA from 1 species